UACGUAGGGGGCAAGCGUUGUCCGGAAUCAUUGGGCGUAAAGCGCGCGUAGGCGGCCCGGUAAGUCCGCUGUAAAAGUCCAGGGCUCAACCCUGGAAAGCCGGUGGAUACUGUCGGGCUAGAGUCCGGAAGAGGCGAGUGGAAUUCCUGGUGUAGCGGUGGAAUGCGCAGAUAUCAGGAGGAACAUCGGUGGCGAAAGCGCUCUGCUGGACUGCAACUGACACUCAGGGACGAAAGCUAGGGGAGCGAAUGGG
rnacentral:rRNA from 1 species